UACGUAUGGAGCAAGCGUUAUCCGGAUUUACUGGGUGUAAAGGGAGUGUAGGCGGCAGAUUAAGUCUGAAGUGAAAUCCCCGGGCUCAACUCGGGAACUGCUUUGGAAACUGGUUUGCUUGAGUGUCGGAGAGGUAAGCGGAAUUCCUAGUGUAGCGGUGAAAUGCGUAGAUAUUAGGAGGAACACCAGUGGCGAAGGCGGCUUACUGGACGAUCACUGACGCUGAGGCUCGAAAGCGUGGGGAG
rnacentral:rRNA from 1 species